GACAGAGGAUGCAAGCGUUAUCCGGAAUGAUUGGGCGUAAAGCGCACGUAGGCGGAUCUUUAAGUCAGGGGUGAAAUCCCAAGGCUCAACCUUGGAACUGCCUUUGAUACUGGGGAUCUCGAGUCCGGAAGAGGUUGGUGGAACUGCGAGUGUAGAGGUGAAAUUCGUAGAUAUUCGCAAGAACACCAGUGGCGAAGGCGGCCAACUGGUCCGGUACUGACGCUGAGGUGCGAAAGCGUGGGGAGCAAACAGG
rnacentral:rRNA from 1 species